UACGUAGGGGGCAAGCGUUAUCCGGAUUUACUGGGUGUAAAGGGAGCGUAGACGGUUAUGUAAGUCUGGAGUGAAAGCCCGGGGCCCAACCCCGGGACUGCUUUGGAAACUGUGUAACUGGAGUACAGGAGGGGCAGGCGGAAUUCCUGGUGUAGCGGUGAAAUGCGUAGAUAUCAGGAGGAACACCGGCGGCGAAGGCGGCCUGCUGGACUGAAACUGACGUUGAGGCUCGAAAGCGUGGGGAGCAAACA
rnacentral:rRNA from 1 species